rnacentral:rRNA from 1 species
AUCGUCAGUGGCGGACGGGUGAGUAACGCGUAGGAACAUGUCCAGGGGUGGGGGAUAACGCUGGGAAACUGGCGCUAAUACCGCAUGUGAGCUGAGGCUCAAAGCCGCGAGGCGCCUUUGGAGUGGCCUGCGUCCGAUUAGCUUGUUGGUGGGGUAAUGGCUUACCAAGGCGACGAUCGGUAGCUGGUCUGAGAGGACGACCAGCCACACUGGGACUGAGACACGGCCCAGACUCCUACGGGAGGCAGCAGUGGGGAAUAUUGGACAAUGGGCGCAAGCCUGAUCCAGCAAUGCCGCGUGGGUGAAGAAGGUCUUCGGAUCGUAAAGCCCUUUCGACGGGGACGAUGAUGACGGUACCCGUAGAAGAAGCCCCGGCUAACUUCGUGCCAGCAGCCGCGGUAAUACGAAGGGGGCUAGCGUUGCUCGGAAUUACUGGGCGUAAAGGGCGCGUAGGCGGUCAUUUUAGUCAGGCGUGAAAUUCCCGGGCUUAACCUGGGGACUGCGCUUGAUACUGGGUGACUUGAGGGUGGAAGAGGGUCGUGGAAUUCCCAGUGUAGAGGUGAAAUUCGUAGAUAUUGGGAAGAACACCGGUGGCGAAGGCGGCGACCUGGUCCAUUACUGACGCUGAGGCGCGACAGCGUG